rnacentral:rRNA from 1 species
UACAGAGAGUGCAAGCGUUAAUCGGAAUUACUGGGCGUAAAGCGCGCGUAGGUGGAACGUUAAGUCGGAUGUGAAAGCCCCGGGCUCAACCUGGGAACCGCACCCGAUACUGGCAUUCUUGAGUAUGGUAGAGGGAAGUGGAAUUUCCGGUGUAGCGGUGAAAUGCGUAGAUAUCGGAAAGAACACAAGUGGCGAAGGCGACUUCCUGGACCAAUACUGACACUGAGGCGCGAAAGCUAGGGGAGCGAAAGGG